GGUAAGAAUAAAUACUUUAAGACACACUUUUUCUAAGACAGUAACUGAAAAGAAUUUAAAUUCCCAUGCUGAAGCACUGAAGACAGCUUGAAUCACCAGAAA
rnacentral:snoRNA from 10 species